ACCAAAUUUCCUCAGAAGAAAUUGAACGCAUGGUUGCUUUUGCGUCCCAAAAGAAUGAAUAUUAGAAAACAUUAAAAAAAGUCUAAGAUUGCUCGGAGGGCUUGUGUUGUUUACCAAGAAAAUGCAUCCCUGUUGGUUUUUAUUUUUGCAUCGCAUCCCGGAGAGUUUCUAUUUCUCGGUAAUUCGGUUUGUGAAAUGACUAUUAAUUACAAGCACAGCAUCAUCAACGGUGAUUGCAAGAACUACUGCAAUUCCUGCGGUUUUUCCUCUUGGUAAAUACGUUUUGGUCGUGAGCAAGGGUGGUCUCCCAAAUCGGCUGGGAAUAAGGCUAUUGUUGCAGAACAAAACGCCGCAACCACUGCUGUGGUAAAUAUGUUCCAGCAGAACUGCCCACCGCCGUCAGUGUAAUGAUUUCGAUAGCUGAACAAACGCCAUCUCCUGGGCAUUCCCACAGCGUGCCGACACUAGCGCAAUAGUACCAUGUCAUUGGCAAAAACACUAAGGGCUGCUGGCACAUAGAGGUUUUAAAGUUUUUGGUAUCGAUGAACUUACUCGAAUAAGACGAUGGCCGAAAACAUAUGAUGAAACAUCUUCUGGCAUGCCUUUGAGAAUCGUUAAGUCAGACGGGGGCUUCACAUACGAUAUUUCACACAUGGCUGGAAUUCGUUAGCGGGCAUAGCACACAUUUACAAAAUAUUUAUCGUUCUGCAGAACGUGAAUGCAUAUUCGAUUCCGAUUUUAUGGGUUGAUUACGGAGGACAACCGAACUUCAGUUGGUUGGCCAGUGGCUGAAAUGGUAUUCCCGAUGGCAACUAGCAACUGAAAGCUGGACACUAAGUUGCUAUAUUGGCAACUGCAUUCUUGUGGCUGCCGGGAAAUUUUGAUUGAGAUACUUUAUUUCUUUUUUCAACUUUUUUUUUUAAUUGUACCACCUUGAACAUUAUGAAACUUAAUUAUUGCUAUUCAUAAUAAAAAAAACAUUUUCAUUUCAGUGGCGCUGCCCAUCGGCAACCAAACUGAGGUUCCGUUCCCAUCCAUAAUCGAUCCAUAAGUCAUAAUCGUACGAAGGCUAUCAUAGAAUCCAUCGUAGUCCGAUUUUUCGUGAAAUCUACGAAAAUGCUAUUAAGUUCGAGUAGCUACGAACGCAGCGCUUGCUUUGAAUACAUACGUUCAUAGCAGUUCAGAUUCAGUGAUCGCUCUUUCGAAGAUUUUAAGAAAAAUCGGACUACGAUGGAUUCCGCCACCAAUAUGUUUUCUCCUUUGACAAGAUGUUGGAGAAUCGCGGCAGCACAGCCGUAUACCUACUCUAUGCCCUUACGCGCAUAUGCUAAAUUUCUCGCACCUAGCUAAAGUGCUUGACAAAGGCAGAAGCACUUCAACAUUAUAACUUAAAGUUAAAAAGUUUAAGGCAUGCAUUAAAGGAAUACAACAGAACCAAAAAAAUGUUCUCAAAACUAUUAAACAUAAAAAA